UUGUCUCAAAGAUUAAGCCAUGCAUGUCUCAGUACAAGCUAAAUUAAGGUGAAACCGCGAAAGGCUCAUUAAAUCAGUUAUGGUUCCUUAGAUCGUACCCACAUUUACUUGGAUAACUGUGGUAAUUCUAGAGCUAAUACAUGCAAACAGAGCUCCGACCGGAAACGGAAGGAGCGCUUUUAUUAGAUCAAAACCAAUCGGUGGCGGGUUCGCUCGUCAUCGUACAAUUUGGUGACUCUGAAUAACUUUACGCUGAUCGCACGGUCUAGCACCGGCGACGCAUCUUUCAAAUGUCUGCCUUAUCAACUGUCGAUGGUAGGUUCUGCGCCUACCAUGGUUGUAACGGGUAACGGGGAAUCAGGGUUCGAUUCCGGAGAGGGAGCCUGAGAAACGGCUACCACAUCCAAGGAAGGCAGCAGGCGCGCAAAUUACCCACUCCCGGCACGGGGAGGUAGUGACGAAAAAUAACGAUACGGGACUCAUCCGAGGCCCCGUAAUCGGAAUGAGUACACUCUAAACCCUUUAACGAGGAUCAAUUGGAGGGCAAGUCUGGUGCCAGCAGCCGCGGUAAUUCCAGCUCCAAUAGCGUAUAUUAAAGUUGUUGCGGUUAAAAAGCUCGUAGUCGAAUCUGUGUCCCGCGCCGCCGGUUCAUCGUUCGCGGUGUCAACUGGCGUGCCGCGGGACGUCCUGCCGGUGGGCUUAGCUCGCAAGGGCGGCCCAACACAAUCCCGCCGCGGUGCUCUUUACUGAGUGUCGAGGUGGGCCGGCACGUUUACUUUGAACAAAUUAGAGUGCUUAAAGCAGGCCAAAACUUCGCCUGAAUACUGUGUGCAUGGAAUAAUCGAAUAGGACCUCGGUUCUAUUUUGUUGGUUUUCGGAACCCCGAGGUAAUGAUUAAUAGGAACGGAUGGGGGCAUUCGUAUUGCGACGUUAGAGGUGAAAUUCUUGGAUCGUCGCAAGACGGACAGAAGCGAAAGCAUUUGCCAAAAAUGUUUUCAUUGAUCAAGAACGAAAGUUAGAGGUUCGAAGGCGAUCAGAUACCGCCCUAGUUCUAACCAUAAACGAUGCCAGCUAGCGAUCCGCCGACGUUCCUCCGAUGACUCGGCGGGCAGCUUCCGGGAAACCAAAGCUUUUGGGUUCCGGGGGAAGUAUGGUUGCAAAGCUGAAACUUAAAGGAAUUGACGGAAGGGCACCACCAGGAGUGGAGCCUGCGGCUUAAUUUGACUCAACACGGGAAACCUCACCAGGCCCGGACACCGGAAGGAUUGACAGAUUGAGAGCUCUUUCUUGAUUCGGUGGGUGGUGGUGCAUGGCCGUUCUUAGUUGGUGGAGCGAUUUGUCUGGUUAAUUCCGAUAACGAACGAGACUCUAGCCUGUUAACUAGGCGUAUUAGACAUCCCAAAGGCCCGCAAGUCCGGGGUUCGCCUCGAGUCUAGCGCGGUUUUUACUGUCUGCGUACAUACAAUUCUUCUUAGAGGGACAGGCGGCUUCUAGCCGCACGAGAUUGAGCAAUAACAGGUCUGUGAUGCCCUUAGAUGUUCUGGGCCGCACGCGCGCUACACUGAAGGAAUCAGCGUGUCCUCCCUGGCCGAGCGGCCCGGGUAACCCGCUGAACCUCCUUCGUGCUAGGGAUUGGGGCUUGCAAUUGUUCCCCAUGAACGAGGAAUUCCCAGUAAGCGCGAGUCAUAAGCUCGCGUUGAUUACGUCCCUGCCCUUUGUACACACCGCCCGUCGCUACUACCGAUUGAAUGAUUUAGUGAGGUCUUCGGACCGGUACGCGGUGGCGUUUCGACGUCGCCGAUGUUGCUGGGAAGAUGACCAAACUUGAUCAUUU
rnacentral:rRNA from 1 species